CAGUCGCCGCGGUAAUUCGUAGGUCCCGAGCGUUGUCCGGAUUUAUUGGGCGUAAAGGGAGCGCAGGCGGUUUGAUAAGUCUGAAGUUAAGGGCUGUGGCUCAACCAUAGUUCGCUUUGGAAACUGUCAAACUUGAGUGCAGAAGGGGAGAGUGGAAUUCCAUGUGUAGCGGUGAAAUGCGUAGAUAUAUGGAGGAACACUGGUGGCGAAAGCGGCUCUCUGGUCUGUAUCUGACGCUGAGGCUCGAAAGCGUGGGGAGCGAACAGGAUUAGAUACCCCCGUAGUCCCUGUCUCUUAUACA
rnacentral:rRNA from 1 species